rnacentral:ncRNA from 1 species
UACUUUUCUCAGCACACAUUUUAACUACCACGUCAGUAUUAAUAAACUAACACUAAUACAUUAGUGCUUCUGUGUACUUCGUGCAUUACUGUUAGUCCCCAGGAAUAAUAUAUU